GUCCCAAGGGUAUGGCUGUUCGCCAUUUAAAGUGGUACGCGAGCUGGGUUCAGAACGUCGUGAGACAGUUCGGUCCCUAUCUGCCAUGGGCGUUGGAGAUUUGAGAGGGGCUGCUCCUAGUACGAGAGGACCGGAGUGGACGAACCUCUGGUGUUCCGGUUGUCACGCCAGUGGCAUUGCCGGGUAGCUAUGUUCGGAAGCGAUAACCGCUGAAAGCAUCUAAGCGGGAAGCGCGCCUCAAGAUGAGAUCUCCCGGGGCACAAGCCCCCUGAAGGAACCAUGUAGACUACGUGGUUGAUAGGUCAGGUGUGUAAGUACAGCAAUGUAUUGAGCUAACUGAUACUAAUGAUCCGUGCGGCUUGACCAUAUAACCUCA
rnacentral:rRNA from 1 species